rnacentral:rRNA from 1 species
AGUGAACGCUGGCGGUAGGCCUAACACAUGCAAGUCGAACGGCAGCACAGUAAGAGCUUGCUCUUACGGGUGGCGAGUGUCGGACGGGUGAGGAAUACAUCGGAAUCUACUUUUUCGUGGGGGAUAACGUAGGGAAACUUACGCUAAUACCGCAUACGACCUACGGGUGAAAGCAGGUGAUCUUCGGACCUUGCGCGAUUGAAUGCGCCGAUGUCGGAUUAGCUAGUUGGCGGGGUAAAGGCCCACCAAGGCGACGAUCCGUAGCUGGUCUGAGAGGAUGAUCAGCCACACUGGAACUGAGACGCGGUCCAGACUCCUACGGGAGGCAGCAGUGGGGAAUAUUGGACAAUGGGCGCAAGCCUGAUCCAGCCAUACCGCGUGGGUGAAGAAGGCCUUCGGGUUGUAAAGCCCUUUUGUUGGGAAAGAAAAGCAGCAGGUUAAUACCCCGCUGUUCUGACGGUACCCAAAGAAUAAGCACCGGCUAACUUCGUG